UGGACAGGAACUAGAGAACAAUUGAGCUAU
rnacentral:piRNA from 1 species